GGCAGCUCUCGAAAGCGGCCGCGGAUCGGGGAAUUCUGCUGGCGCCACCGCUGCAGAAUGGUGGGCGGCGGCAGGAUGCGCAGGCCCGGCGCGGGGGCGGGGUCGCAGAUACUGCCAGAAAGGUUGGAGAAGCAACAUAAUGAAGUGGUUGAGAAUCUGCUGUGGCGCCAGAAGAGUUACUGAAAUUACUAAAGACAAUUUGGAGAACGGAAGUUUUGUGUGCCAAUUUUCAGUGUGAAAAAACAGUUGGAUGUGAAGAAAAGUAAAUUCUGUGAAGCUGAUGUCUCCGAUGACCUUCGAAAAGAAGUAGAAAAUCAUUAUAAGCUCUCUUUACCUGAAGAUUUCUUUCACUUCUGGAAGUUCUGUGAAGAACUUGAUUCUGAAAAACCAGCUGGGAUUCUCCUGAUGAACUUCUUGUAUAUGUUGGUAUAAAUGAAGCAAAGAAAAAUUGUAUAAUUGUUCCAAAUGGAGAUAACGUAUUUGCAACAGUCAAGUAAGAAUAUUUUAUCUCAAAUUCUCUGAUGUUUAUGUAAGUUUACAAUUUUUAUACUAUAUUAGUCCAUUACAAAGCGGGUUUGCGGGGCUGGG